CUGCGGGUUUUCCAGGAGUGUAGAGGCGGAGAAGUCUAUCCGAGCUUCCAGUUCUGCUUCUGAAGCUGGAAGGGGCUUUUCGGUUGUAACCCUUGGGUAACAAUGCCUGGAUUUUAUUCAGAUGCUGUGUACCCAGCCAAAAGACUACAUUUCUCAAUCUCCAUUGUAGCUGGAUGUGGCUGUGUGAUCAAGUUAUGACCAAUGAGAUAUAAGUAGAAGUAGCUUGGCCAGACACAGUGGCUCACACCUGUAAUCCCAGCCCUUUGGGAGGCCAAAGCAGGAGGAUCACUUGCACUCAGGAGUUGGAAACUGCAGACCAGCCUGGAGAACACAGUGACACCUUGUCUCUACACAAAAUGAAAAAGUUAGCAGGGUAUGGUGGCAUGUGCCUGUGGUCCCAGCUACUUCCAGCUACUUGGGAGGCUAAAAUGGAAGGAUCGCUUGAGCCUGGGAGAUUGAGGCCUCAGUGAGCCAUGAUCAUGCCACUGUACUCCAGCCUGGGUGACAAGAGCAAGACCCUGUCUCUCAAAAAAAAAAAAACGCGGCUGGGUGGAACAUCUGGAAAACAUCUUUAAAGAACGCUGACUCAAUCAGGAGGAGCACCAUUUUGUUUCUUGCCCUCUGCCCUUCCUGCCUGAAACAGGCAUUGCCAUUCUCUUCAAAACAUAUUUGAAAAAUGUCCAGGCUUCUCAUCUCUGUGUAAAACUGUUCAGUUUGUUCCAGUGUGACGAGAAGAAAUUGGACUGAGCAUACUUUUUUGUGAGACAUCCAUUUUCUUCC
rnacentral:lncRNA from 1 species